CGGGUGAGUAACACGUGAGUAACCUGCCCUUAACUCUGGGAUAAGCCUGGGAAACUGGGUCUAAUACCGGAUAGGAGCGUCCACCGCAUGGUGGGUGUUGGAAAGAUUUAUCGGUUUUGGAUGGACUCGCGGCCUAUCAGCUUGUUGGUGAGGUAAUGGCUCACCAAGGCGACGACGGGUAGCCGGCCUGAGAGGGUGACCGGCCACACUGGGACUGAGACACGGCCCAGACUCCUACGGGAGGCAGCAGUGGGGAAUAUUGCACAAUGGGCGAAAGCCUGAUGCAGCGACGCCGCGUGAGGGAUGACGGCCUUCGGGUUGUAAACCUCUUUCAGUAGGGAAGAAGCGAAAGUGACGGUACCUGCAGAAGAAGCACCGGCUAACUACGUGCCAGCAGCCGCGGUAAUACGUAGGGUGCGAGCGUUAUCCGGAAUUAUUGGGCGUAAAGAGCUCGUAGGCGGUUUGUCGCGUCUGUCGUGAAAGUCCGGGGCUUAACCCCGGAUCUGCGGUGGGUACGGGCAGACUAGAGUGCAGUAGGGGAGACUGGAAUUCCUGGUGUAGCGGUGGAAUGCGCAGAUAUCAGGAGGAACACCGAUGGCGAAGGCAGGUCUCUGGGCUGUAACUGACGCUGAGGAGCGAAAGCAUGGGGAGCGAACAGGAUUAGAUACCCUGGUAGUCCAUGCCGUAAACGUUGGGCACUAGGUGUGGGGACCAUUCCACGGUUUCCGCGCCGCAGCUAACGCAUUAAGUGCCCCGCCUGGGGAGUACGGCCGCAAGGCUAAAACUC
rnacentral:rRNA from 1 species